UACGUAGGGGGCAAGCGUUGUCCGGAUUUAUUGGGCGUAAAGAGCGUGUAGGCGGCUUGGUAGGUCCGCUGUGAAAACUCGAGGCUCAACCUCGAGAUGUCGGCGGAAACCACUUGGCUAGAGUCCGGAAGAGGAGAGCGGAAUUCCUGGUGUAGCGGUGGAAUGCGCAGAUAUCAGGAAGAACACCCGUGGCGAAGGCGGCUCUCUGGGACGGUACUGACGCUGAGACGCGAAAGCGUGGGGAGGCGAACAGG
rnacentral:rRNA from 1 species